rnacentral:ncRNA from 1 species
ACGGCUGAGGUCGCGGAAGCCAUCAGUACCGGGUCGGUGUGGCGAUUGCCGAGCCGCGAAAGGGACUUUCGCCGAAGGCUAUACCUGAUGCCAAGCGGGUAUUUCCUGGGGCCGCGCAGAAGAUGCGCGGAACUGUCAUCCACUGGAUGUUGUGCUGCC